AGAGUUUGAUCCUGGCUCAGGACGAACGCUGGCGGCGUGCUUAACACAUGCAAGUCGAUCGUGAACCCUUCGAGGGGUAACCCUCGGAGGGGGAAAGCGGCGAACGGGUGAGUAACACGUGGGCAACCUGCCCCAGACUCUGGGAUAACCUCGGGAAACCGGGGCUAAUACCGGAUACUCUCCGGGAUUCGCAUGGAUCCCGGAGGAAAGCUCCGACGGUCUGGGAUGGGCCCGCGGCCUAUCAGCUUGUUGGCGGGGUAAUGGCCCACCAAGGCGACGACGGGUAGCUGGCGUGAGAGCGUGGCCAGCCACACUGGGACUGAGACACGGCCCAGACUCCUACGGGAGGCAGCAGUGGGGAAUCUUGCGCAAUGGGCGAAAGCCUGACGCAGCGACGCCGCGUGGGGGAAGAAGGCCCUCGGGUUGUAAACCCCUUUCGGCAGGGAAGAAGCCGCAAGGUGACGGUACCUGCAGAAGAAGCCCCGGCUAACUACGUGCCAGCAGCCGCGGUAAUAC
rnacentral:rRNA from 1 species